AUUUACAUGUUUAUACUUUUAAUCGGUUUUGUUCGGUUUAUUCGGUUUAAUCGGUUAUAUACCAAACCAUAUCCAAAUCCUACGGUUUUUAUAAAAUUAUAUCCAUUCGGUUUAUAUGGUAUAUACCAAAACCAAACCAUAUUGUCUAUUUUGGUUCGGUUCGGUUCAGUACGGUUCGGUUUUACCAUAUUGAACAGCCCUAGAACAAACGCUAAUAACAUCUAAGGAAACAAAGAAAUUUUAAAAAAGGAAACACAUGAUAGGAAAAUAUUCAUUUUAUUUUUUGUAUACUGGUUAUACGAAUGAAUAAUUUACAAUUUUUCAUAUUUGUAUUCAUACUAUCUCAAGACUGGCCAUUCAAUUUCUUUUUAAGAAAACAUCUUUAUUUUCUAAAAAUACUUUUCUUUAUCUUUUUUUUUGACAGACUUUUCUUUAUCUUAAAAGGUAUGUAUUAUACAAAAUUUUAUUUUGAAAUCUAGUCGCAGUAUGAUACAUCAUGUCGUUAUAACUUAUAAGUCAAAUAAUCUCCAAAUAAUUAAAACCCAAAAUAUAAAAAAUAACUAAUUCCCAACAAACAAAGACGUCUAAAAUUACACCCAAAAAAAAAGAUGUCCAAAUUUUGGAUCCUUUGCUCUUUCAAAAAAAUUCAUAUAUUUUAAAAAUACCAUCAAUCAAAAAUAAAUGAAAUAAUCGGUAUAAUAACUCAUGCUAGGCAAUCUUUAUCAAAAAAAAACCUCAUUUUAGAAAAUAUAUUAGAAAAGUAAAAAGUUAAACAGCGUAUAAAUAAAUGGUCACUUUAAAUCAAAUAGUCCCGUCCAUUCACUCAUAUAGCAUUUUAUCUUUUAUUGCAAACUUGUUAUUUAUAUACUAGAUGAUAAUACGCGCGCAUGCACGGAGUGAAUUUUAAUAUUAAUGUGUGUUUAUUAAAUGAUUUUAACAUUUUGUAAUAAUAAAAUUUUUAUCGAUUGUAAUUAUUUUUUAAUACUAAUGUGUGUUCGAAUGUUGGUCUCUUAAAUAUAUCAUCGUUGUUGAAGAAUUAACGUAUACAGCUCAUUUUAAUUAUUUUUAAGACUUCAUAUGCACAAAAUAAAAUAAAUUUUACAGCUAACACAAAUCACCAAAACCAUAUAGACAACAUUCAUUAUGUUUUCUGUUCUCGAUUUAUUUACUAUUGACUACUCAUUGAUAUGAGUUUAAUUUUUUUUUAACUUCUUCUAUGAAUUCGCUGAAUUACCUAAGUGUCAAUUUUAAAAUAUGGACAUCUGUAAAAUUAGUUCCACUCCAGUUACAUAUAUAAGAAUCAAAAUUUUGAAGACAUCACCUACAACCUAUAUUCACAGGUUAGUGUUCAUAUCUAAUAUAUCAAGCUGUUAAAUAAUGUAAGUGCAGACUCGAAAUAUAAAUGUUUGUCUAGUAUAUAUUCACAGUUCGGUCUAAAAAUCAUCUAUGUCUA